rnacentral:misc_RNA from 1 species
UCUCCGUUGGUGAACCAGCGGAGGGAUCAUUACCGAGUUCCGACAACUCCCAACCCUUGCGAACCGUACCCUAUUCUGUUCUCGUUGCUUCCGGCACGCGGGGGGGGCCACGUGGCCCCUCCCCAAACCGGCAGCGGCGGGCCCCGUGACACUUUAUACCUCAACCACUAAAACCCGUCAGGGCUACACACAAAAUAAUCAAAACUUUCAACAACGGAUCUCUUGGCUCUG